CAAUAGCGUAUAUUAAAGUUGUUGCAGUUAAAAAGCUCGUAGUUGGAUUUCUGGUGGGAGCGAUCGGUCUGGCGCUUAGCGCGAGUACUUGCAUCGUCUCCGGCCAUCCUUGGGGAGAGUCUGUCUGGCAUUAGGUUGUCGGGCAGAGGAUCCUCAUCGUUUACUGUGAAAAAAUUAGAGUGUUCAAAGCAGGCUUAUGCCGUUGAAUAUAUUAGCAUGGAAUAAUAAGAUAGGACUUUGGUACUAUUUUGUUGGUUUGCGCACCAAAGUAAUGAUUAAUAGGGACAGUUGGGGGUAUUCGUAUUCCGUUGUCAGAGGUGAAAUUCUCGGAUUUACGGAAGACGAACUACUGCGAAAGCAUUUACCAAGGAUGUUUUCAUUAA
rnacentral:rRNA from 1 species